rnacentral:rRNA from 1 species
UACAGAGGGUGCGAGCGUUGUCCGGAAUCACUGGGCGUAAAGGGCGCGUAGGUGGCGUCGCAAGUCGAUGGUGAAAGCUCGGGGCUCAACCCCGAGUCGGCCGUGCGAACUGUUUUGCUUGAGCACUGUAGAGGCAGGCGGAAUUCCGGGUGUAGCGGUGGAAUGCGUAGAGAUCCGGAAGAACACCGGUGGCGAAGGCGGCCUGCUGGGCAGUAGCUGACACUGAGGCGCGACAGCGUGGGGAGCAAACAGG